UACAGAGGCCCCAAGCGUUGUUCGGAUUCACUGGGCGUAAAGGGUGCGUAGGUGGCCGGUUAAGUCUGACGUGAAAUCUCCGAGCCUAACUCGGAAACUGCAUCGGAAACUAUCCGGCUCGAGGGUUGGAGGGGGGACUGGAAUACUUGGUGUAGCAGUGAAAUGCGUAGAUAUCAAGUGGAACACCAGUGGCGAAGGCGAGUCCCUGGACAACUCCUGACACUGAGGCACGAAAGCUAGGGGAGCAAACAGG
rnacentral:rRNA from 1 species